rnacentral:rRNA from 1 species
UACUGAGUUUACGCUCUAUAACCCUUUGUGAACAUACCUAUAACUGUUGCUUCGGCGGGUAGGGUCUCCGUGACCCUCCCGGCCUCCCGCCCCCGGGCGGGUCGGCGCCCGCCGGAGGAUAACCAAACUCUGAUUUAACGACGUUUCUUCUGAGUGGUACAAGCAAAUAAUCAAAACUUUUAACAACGGAUCUCUUGGUUCUGGCAUCGAUGAAGAACGCAGCGAAAUGCGAUAAGUAAUGUGAAUUGCAGAAUUCAGUGAAUCAUCGAAUCUUUGAACGCACAUUGCGCCCGCCAGCAUUCUGGCGGGCAUGCCUGUUCGAGCGUCAUUUCAACCCUCAAGCUCUGCUUGGUGUUGGGGCCCUACAGCUGAUGUAGGCCCUCAAAGGUAGUGGCGGACCCUCCCGGAGCCUCCUUUGCGUAGUAACUUUACGUCUCGCACUGGGAUCCGGAGGGACUCUUGCCGUAAAACCCCCAAUUUUCCAAAGGUUGACCUCGGAUCAGGUAGGAAUACCCGCUGAACUUA